rnacentral:rRNA from 1 species
GCUCAGCCUUAAACCUUAAUAGUUAAACAACAAAACUACUCGCCAGAAUACUACAAGCAACAGCUUGAAACUCAAAGGACUUGGCGGUGCUUUACAUCCCCCUAGAGGAGCCUGUUCUAUAAUCGAUAAACCCCGAUCCACCCCACCCUCUCUUGCUCAGCCUAUAUACCGCCAUCUUCAGCAAACCCUGUUAAAGGUUACAAAGUCUGCGCAAACGCCCUUCCCCGCAAAAACGUUAGGUCAAGGUGUAGCUUAUGAGACGGUAAAAAAUGGGCUACAUUUUCUACCCCAGAAAACCCCACGAUAGCUCUUAUGAAACCUAAGAGUUCAAGGAGGAUUUAGCAGUAAAUUAAGAAUAGAGUGCUUAAUUGAACCAGGCCAUGAAGCACGC